UACGAAGGGGGCUAGCGUUGUUCGGAAUUACUGGGCGUAAAGGGCGCGUAGGCGGUGUGUCAAGUCAGGCGUGAAAGCCCCGGGCUCAACCUGGGAACCGCGCUUGAGACUGGCACGCUCGAGUUCGGGAGAGGAUGGUGGAAUUCCCAGUGUAGAGGUGAAAUUCGUAGAUAUUGGGAAGAACACCGGUGGCGAAGGCGGCGUCCUGGACCAACACUGACACUGAGGAGCGAAAGCCAGGGGAGCAAACGGG
rnacentral:rRNA from 1 species